rnacentral:ncRNA from 1 species
UUGACUGAAUUAGAGAUUGGUCUUUCCAGUUCAAUUUUUUUAAUAUUAAAGAGGUUAUUUAUGUCUCUAACUGUAAAUGAUAAAGCGAAAAUUGUUGCUGAAUAUGGUCGUGGU